rnacentral:rRNA from 1 species
UACAGAGGGUGCAAGCGUUGUCUGGAAUUAUUGGGCGUAAAGAGCUCGUAGGCGGUUUGUCGCGUCUGCUGUGAAAUCCCGAGGCUCAACCUCGGGCCUGCAGUGGGUACGGGCAGACUGGAGUGCGGUAGGGGAGACUGGAAUUCCUGGUGUAGCGGUGAAAUGCGCAGAUAUCAGGAGGAACACCGGUGGCGAAGGCGGGUCUCUGGGCCGUAACUGACGCUGAGGAGCGAAAGCGUGGGGAGCGAACAGG